rnacentral:rRNA from 1 species
ACGAACGCUGGCGGUGUGCUUCACACAUGCAAGUCGAACGAGGUAGCAAUACCUAGUGGCGGACGGGUGAGUAACACGUGGGAAUCUGCCUUUAGAUGGGGAAUAACGAACCGAAAGGUUCGCUAAUACCGCAUAUGUGUACGCCUCGACAGGGGUGUACAUGAAAGGAGCAAUCUGUCUGAAGAUGAGCCCGCGUCCGAUUAGCUAGUUGGUAGGGUAAAAGCCUACCAAGGCGACGAUCGGUAGCUGGUCUGAGAGGAUGAUCAGCCACAAUGGGACUGAGACACGGCCCAUACUCCUACGGGAGGCAGCAGUGGGGAAUUUUGUGCAAUGGGGGAAACCCUGACACAGCGACACCGCGUGAGCGAAGAAGCCCCUUGGGGUGUAAAGCUCUGUCGGCAGGGAAGAAAACAAUGACGGUACCUGCAGAGGAAGCAUCGGCUAACUACGU